CUUGUAGAGAGCAAUGCAGCUAUUCUGAAGUGGCCCCAGGACAGGGACAUUUGGCCAUGUUUGCUGUCUCCUCGCGGCUGCUGACCCACUCAGGGGUUGCCAACCCUCUGGGAACUGGAGGUGUUCUGUAGCAUUAUGAGAUAUUGACCUCAGCCCUUCCCUGUACAGAUGUAAUGAGGAUUCAGAGUCUGACCUGCUGAUCAGAGCUCCUUCUGUGGGAAUCUAACUGGAAAAGAACAACUAAAUACACUAUUAAAUAAUACUAACCAAGACGUUACAACAAGACAAUCUAUACCUGUCCGUGGGCAGCAGAGACAACCCGCUGUCUACGUGCCUGGUAGGAGUUCCCUUAGCAGCAAAUGAAUACCCAUACGGAGAUAAGAAACCCAACCCAGUAGACACUUGGGAUGAGUGGACCAGGUCCCUACCGCAAGCACUGGAGGAACCCCAAGAGUUGGAGCUGUUAGGGUCCUCUAAAGCCUGUUACUGCCCUCAAUUUCAAUAUCAACCUCCCAAUGAACUCU